rnacentral:rRNA from 1 species
AGAGUUUGAUCCUGGCUCAGGAUGAACGCUAGCUACAGGCUUAACACAUGCAAGUCGAGGGGCAGCAUGACGAUAGCUUGCUAUUGUUGAUGGCGACCGGCGCACGGGUGAGUAACGCGUAUCCAACCUGCCCUUGUCCAUCGGAUAACCCGUCGAAAGGCGGACUAACACGAUAUGCAGUUCUCAGCAGGCAUCUAACGAGAACGAAAUGUGAAGGAGAAGGAUGGGGAUGCGUCUGAUUAGCUUGUUGGCGGGGUAACGGCCCACCAAGGCGACGAUCAGUAGGGGUUCUGAGAGGAAGGUCCCCCACAUUGGAACUGAGACACGGUCCAAACUCCUACGGGAGGCAGCAGUGAGGAAUAUUGGUCAAUGGGCGAGAGCCUGAACCAGCCAAGUAGCGUGCAGGAUGACGGCCCUAUGGGUUGUAAACUGCUUUUAUAAGGGAAUAAAGUGAGUCUCGUGAGACUUUUUGCAUGUACCUUAUGAAUAAGGACCGGCUAAUUCCGUGCCAGCAGCCGCGGUAAUACGGAAGGUCCGGGCGUUAUCCGGAUUUAUUGGGUUUAAAGGGAGCGUAGGCCGUCUUAUAAGCGUGUUGUGAAAUGUCGGGGCUCAACCUGGGCAUUGCAGCGCGAACUGUGAGACUUGAGUGCGCAGGAAGUAGGCGGAAUUCGUCGUGUAGCGGUGAAAUGCUUAGAUAUGACGAAGAACUCCGAUUGCGAAGGCAGCCUGCUGUAGCGCAACUGACGCUGAAGCUCGAAAGCGUGGGUAUCGAACAGGAUUAGAUACCCUGGUAGUCCACGCGGUAAACGAUGGAUGCUCGCUGUUUGCGUCUGACGUAAGCGGCCAAGCGAAAGCGUUAAGCAUCCCACCUGGGGAGUACGCCGGCAACGGUGAAACUCAAAGGAAUUGAC